ACAACUUUCAGCAACGGAUCUCUUGGCUCUCGCAUCNNNNNNGAACGCAGCGAAAUGCGAUAAGUAAUGUGAAUUGCAGAAUUCAGUGAAUCAUCGAAUCUUUGAACGCACCUUGCGCCUCUUGGUAUUCCGAGAGGCAUGCCUGUUUGAGUGUCAUUAA
rnacentral:rRNA from 1 species